AGAACGAACGCUGGCGGCAUGCCUAAUACAUGCAAGUCGAACGAACUCUUCGGAGUUAGUGGCGCACGGGUGCGUAACGCGUGGGAAUCUGCCCCUUGGUUCGGAAUAACAGUUGGAAACGACUGCUAAUACCGGAUGAUGACGAAAGUCCAAAGAUUUAUCGCCAAGGGAUGAGCCCGCGUAGGAUUAGCUAGUUGGUGAGGUAAAGGCUCACCAAGGCAACGAUCCUUAGCUGGUCUGAGAGGAUGAUCAGCCACACUGGGACUGAGACACGGCCCAGACUCCUACGGGAGGCAGCA
rnacentral:rRNA from 1 species